rnacentral:rRNA from 1 species
GAUGAACGCUGGCGGCGUGCCUAAUACAUGCAAGUCGAACGAGGUGCCUUUGUAGCAAUACGAGGGUAUCCUAGUGGCGAACGGGUGAGUAACGCGUUGGUGACCUGCCCCGAAGUGUGGGAUAACAGUCCGAAAGGACUGCUAAUACCGCAUGCGGUCAUCGGGUUGAGAAGCCGAUGACCAAAGCAGCAAUGCGCUUUGGGAGGGACCUGCGUCCCAUCAGCUAGGUGGUAGGGGGAUGGCCUACCAAGGCUACGACGGGUAAGGGACCUGAGAGGGUGACCCCCCACAAAGGAAGUGAAAUACGGUCCAGACACCUACGGGUGGCAGCAGAAGGGAAUAUUGCACAAUGGGCGAAAGCCUGAUGCCGCAACGCCGCGUGCACGAUGAAGGUCUUCGGAUCGUAAAGGGCUUUUCUGGAAGAUGAGAAUGGACAGUAUCCCAGGAAUAAGUGUCGGCUAACUACGUGCCAGCCGCCGCCGCCGUAA